GCAUGUACUUGUACGCUCUACUGGGUAAGACUGUUACAAGUACAUACAAAUAUGGUCAACUUAUGAUAAGUUACUUAUCAUUAAUCAAUCAAUAACUUCCAUUCUCACCCGAAUUCUCGGUUUGUAAUACAUACAUACUUGUAAAUACAACUGUGCAGUUUGCGCAGCAGCCUGUUUAUCUAAUUUACGUACAUAUAUUAUCACCCAUCUCUCACUCCAAUCUGGUCAGACGAAUGAUUGGAAUCAUCUUCAAAACUGGAUUCUAAAAUAUUUUUGGGGUUCAUUCGUUUUAUGGAAAAUUCUCAAAAUCUAUAAACCUCACGAAAAUAAUGGUAGACGGGAAAGAAUUCAAGGACCAUUCGACGAAUCGGGACUCCUGCCCAAUUACAGGGGGCGGGGGACCAUUUUUUCUACCCGAACCAAAACCAAGCCUUAAGAAAAGAGUUGCCCAACUAGAGAAUUUCGCCGACAAAUUGGACAAACAUUUUACCAAGGAAGAAACAGAGGCCCCUUUCCGGGCGCAUAUUCUAAAAAUGGAAAACCAGUUUAAGUACGUGUUCUAUGUUUUAGCUUUUAUUUCUGGAGUAGUUCUGGCACUUCAUGUGAGAGGCGUUUUAUUCAGUUCGUAAUUUACUUCAUGUUUGAGAUGAAAUUAGAUUAUUUUCAGUUUCAUUGCAGAUGAUUUUCGAAUUAAUUAAUUAAUUAACAUGGGUGUUUGAUUUGUUAAAACUUUCCGUCAUUUCUCACACAGCACUGAAAAAAAUGCAAAAUGCAAAGCAAACAAAAAAUUAAUCGCCUAACCAUAACCAUGAACUUUUCGUAAAAAUACAUUGAUUUUUGUUCGACAAA